rnacentral:tRNA from 1 species
GGGGUUGUGGUCCAAUGGCAAGAUCCUCUGACAUACUUCGGGUUCUAUACCUGCUCCAAUUCGCAAGAAUUGUCCAAGCGCCGACCGGCGCUCAGCUGCAUUCCGCAACUUUGUCAGAGGGAUGCGAGUUCGAUUCUCGCCAACUCCG